AGCGAACGCUGGCGGCAGGCUUAACACAUGCAAGUCGAGCGGGCACUUCGGUGUCAGCGGCAGACGGGUGAGUAACACGUGGGAACGUACCCUUCGGUUCGGAAUAACGCUGGGAAACUAGCGCUAAUACCGGAUACGCCCUUUUGGGGAAAGGUUUACUGCCGAAGGAUCGGCCCGCGUCUGAUUAGCUAGUUGGUGGGGUAAUGGCCUACCAAGGCGACGAUCAGUAGCUGGUCUGAGAGGAUGAUCAGCCACACUGGGACUGAGACACGGCCCAGACUCCUACGGGAGGGAGCAGUGGGGAAUAUUGGAAAAUGGGCGCAAGCCUGAUCCAGCCAUGCCGCGUGAGUGAUGAAGGCCUUAGGGUUGUAAAGCUCUUUUGUCCGGGACGAUAAUGACGGUACCGGAAGAAUAAGCCCCGGCUAACUUCGUG
rnacentral:rRNA from 1 species